CUUCACUUGUGUUGACAUGUAAAUGUUUAUUACACGAUUAAAUAUAAUUUCUAUGCGACUAAGAGCUAUUGCGACUGUGAUGUUAUACUUUCUAUUGGAAAAACGACAUUUUCAUCUGAACUUGCUGAAACGUCUACUGUAUCUUCUCGAAUGCCUUUCUCUAGUGCUCCAGACGCUUUCGGACGUUUCCAUCUCAAUCUUUUGGCAACGUACCGGCGCGACUUCUUAAUCCGUCUUUUAAAAUCAACUGCGGGAAGGCAAUGAGAACGCGUAAAAACCGCUAGGAACAGUGAGUAAAGCGCAAAUACGACAAUCUGCGACGACAAUUCCGAAACUUUAUGAGCGUUCGAAGGAGCGUGACUCGAGUUAGCGCAGUAAAACUGUGUAAUGGUCUUCUCGUACGAAGUAUCGAUAAUAAGCGCGCCAUAAUCCACUAUAAUCGCUCUCGCGUCUACUUGAGCCACUUCAUUCUCCAAUUUAAAAGAGUAUCGGAAGGUACAUUUGUGUGCAAUUCGGUUGUAUGCUUUCGCAAUGAUAUUGCGAAAUCUCUUAGAACUCGUUAUUUCUUUCCUCGUGAGCGACACGAAGUAUAUGCUGGAUCGAAUAAAUUCCGUCCGUAAGCGCAGCGCGUGCAUGCAUGAUCGGAUAUUUCCAUACGAUGAACGGAAGCCUAUGCACUGUUUCAUUUCUCUUCCACACGACAAAGAAUUUAUCGAUCUUCGAGAUUACACCACUAGGAGACGCGCCUCACAUCUUCCUCAUGUAUUUUAAAUAGAUCAAAGAUAGAUGGACACAUUUAAAUAAGCAUAAAUGAAUACGCGACACAUGAAACGACGUUGAUACUUUUGCGAACAAUUUGCAAGCUACAGGAAAAUGCUUUUUGCGAAUCGUAGCAGGUAACUAAAUCGCGUUUCUCGAUUCAAUGCCGUAAACUUUAAAGGAAUUUUUAUUUGAUUUCACAAAAGCAAAACAUUUGUAUACCUAGAGAAUUCGAGGGAGAGAAUUUUUUGUGUUCGAAAUAAAUUAUACUAAAAUAUAUAUAUAAAACACAUUUCUUUUACUAUACUACAUAUUUUAUAUAUUGUAUUAAAAUAUAUAAUUUUAGUUAAAUAUAAAUAUAUGUGUCACAUACAAUAUAUAUUAUACACGUGUACAUACUUAUAUUUGGUAAUUACAUAUUAUCUGUAUAUGAAAGUUUAUCAAAAUAGCGUCAUUGUUUUAUAAAAAGUGUGUAUGUAUAAAUCAUCUGUUUAUAAUAUGGCAUAUAUGCACGUAGUAACAUGUAUGUAUCACGAUACAAUAGGAACUUUUAAAGAUGUUUUUUAUCAACAUCUAUACUGACGAGGUCUAUACUAAUGAGAUCUAUACUGAAAAAAUAUCUAAAAAAUAGAAAAAAAUAUUUACUUGAUGCGUUAAUAAUAUGUUUAGUUAUAUAAUAUAAAAUAGUGUUUAAAUAAGGAAAUAUAUAUUUUCUUAAAAUCUAAAGAAAAUUUUAGCUUUUUAUAAAAAUAAUUGUUAAUUCUUUUUUAAUAAAAGAAUUUAGAUUAAUUAUUCUUCAUUAAAAGCUACAUCGUGUAAAUAUUUAGUAAAUUUUUUUCGAUAUUUUUUCUUCGGUACAUAAGGACGAAGUUUCUUGUUGAUACGUCUCUGAAACCACGUCUCUCUGAAAAAAAAACAUGACAAUGUUUUAAAAAUUGAUAUGUAUCACAAACGCAGUCUUAUUUACACGAAACUAAGAUAAUUGCUAAUAUUAAAAUGUAGUAUUGUAAUGA